ensembl:lncRNA
AACAGGACAGGCAAGGACAGGCAAGGACAGUUGGCAUGAGGCCAGGCCAGGCCAGAGCACGCAAGGCCAGGCCAGGCAAGGCAAGGCCAGGGAAGGCGAGUACAAGCCAGAAAAUGCAAGGCAAGUCAAGGUACGGCCAGACCAGCUCAAUGAAGUCCAGGCCAGGCCAGGCAAGGAUAGGCCAGGCCAGGAUAGGCCAGACCAGGCAAGCCAAGGCAAUGCCAGGGAAGACAAGGAAAGGAAAGACAAGGCAAGGCAAGUCCAGGCCAGGCCAAAAAAGAGAAGGCCAGGCACGGCAAGGAAAUGCCAGGCAAGGCAAGACCAGGCCAGACCAGGUUCCGU